rnacentral:rRNA from 1 species
UACGAGUGCCCCGAGCGUUAUCCGGAAUCAUUGGGCGUAAAGGGUGUGUAGGUGGCAGUGUUAGUCAGUUGUUAAAAACCUGGGCUCAACCCAGGGACCGCGACUGAAACGGCACAGCUAGAGGAUGGCAGGGAUGUAUGGAACUCAUGGAGUAGGGGUGAAAUCCGUUGAUAUCAUGGGGAACACCAAAAGCGAAAGCAGUACAUUGGGCCACUCCUGACACUGAAACACGAAAGCGUGGGUAGCGAAUGGG